rnacentral:rRNA from 1 species
CCUACGGGAGGCAGCAGUGGGGAAUUUUGGACAAUGGGCGCAAGCCUGAUCCAGCAAUGCCGCGUGAGUGAAGAAGGCCUUCGGGUUGUAAAGCUCUUUUGUCAGGGAAGAAACGGUGGGAGCUAAUAUCUCUUGCUAAUGACGGUACCUGAAGAAUAAGCACCGGCUAACUACGUGCCAGCAGCCGCGGUAAUACGUAGGGUGCAAGCGUUAAUCGGAAUUACUGGGCGUAAAGCGUGCGCAGGCGGUUUUGUAAGACUGUCGUGAAAUCCCCGGGCUCAACCUGGGAAUGGCGAUGGUGACUGCAAGGCUAGAGUUUGGCAGAGGGGGGUAGAAUUCCACGUGUAGCAGUGAAAUGCGUAGAUAUGUGGAGGAACACCGAUGGCGAAGGCAGCCCCCUGGGUCAAAACUGACGCUCAUGCACGAAAGCGUGGGGAGCAAACAGGAUUAGAUACCCUGGUAGUCCACGCCCUAAACGAUGUCUACUAGUUGUCGGGUCUUAAUUGACUUGGUAACGCAGCUAACGCGUGAAGUAGACCGCCUGGGGAGUACGGUCGCAAGAUUAAAACCGUCAAAGGAAUUGACGG